rnacentral:rRNA from 1 species
GAUGAACGCUGACAGAAUGCUUAACACAUGCAAGUCUUUGGCGAAGCUGUGCUUGCACAGCCUAGCCAAGGCGGACGGGUGAGUAACGCGUAAGGAACUUGCCCUGCAGUCAGGGAUAACAGACGGAAACGACUGAUAAGACCUGGUAAAGUCAGGCGGACUCAUGUCCAGCCUGAUGAAAAGAGAUGCUGCAGGAGAGCCUUGCGUCCUAUUAGCUUGUUGGUGGGGUAACGGCCCACCAAGGCGAUGAUAGGUAGCCGGCCUGAGAGGGUGGACGGCCACAAGGGGACUGAGAUACGGCCCUUACUCCUACGGGAGGCAGCAGUGGGGAAUAUUGGACAAUGGGGGCAACCCUGAUCCAGCAAUUCUGUGCGCACGAUGAAGGUUUUCGGAGUGUAAAGUGCUUUCAGCAGGGAAGAAAAAAAUGACGGUACCUGCAGAAGAAGCGACGGCUAAAUACGUG